UGCAUUAAUUCUCCUCGAUGGC
rnacentral:siRNA from 1 species